rnacentral:tRNA from 1 species
UGGUCUCGUCGUCUAAUUGGCAGGACGCCGGAUUUUCGUUCCGGCAAUGCGGGUUCGACUCCCGUCGAGAUCGU